rnacentral:rRNA from 1 species
CGCUUCGCGCGGCUGAUCAGCCCCGGCAGGGAUGCCGCGUGUGGGAGGGCCCCAGAGUGAGGGUGGAGACGUCCAAGUUCUCUAUUGAAAGUAUGCUCGCUGCCCAGAGAGGGUGUCAGGCCCGUACUGGCGUCAUCCACUCCCGGCUCACGGGGUCUUCCUCAGAGUCGGGUUGCUCGGUAAUGCAGCCCUAAGAAAGGUGGUAAACUCCAUCUAAGGCUAAAUACUACCACGAGACCGAUAGUGAACAAGUACCCCGAGGGAAAGUUGAAAAGGACUUUGAAGAGAGAGUUCAAUAGAGCGUGAAACCGCUACGAGCUUACAAAACGGAUGGGC